rnacentral:rRNA from 1 species
CAGCCGCCACGGUAAUACGUAGGGUCCGAGCGUUGUCCGGAAUUAUUGGGCGUAAAGGGCUCGUAGGCGGUUUGUCGCGUCGGGAGUGAAAACUCAGGGCUCAACCCUGAGCGUGCUUCCGAUACGGGCAGACUAGAGGGAUGCAGGGGAGAACGGAAUUCCUGGUGUAGCGGUGGAAUGCGCAGAUAUCAGGAGGAACACCGGUGGCGAAGGCGGUUCUCUGGGCAUUACCUGACGCUGAGGAGCGAAAGCAUGGGGAGCGAACAGGAUUAGAUACCCCUGUAGUCCCUGUCUCUUAUAC